GACGAACGCUGGCGGCGUGCUUAACACAUGCAAGUCGAACGGAAAGGCCCUGCUUUUGUGGGGUGCUCGAGUGGCGAACGGGUGAGUAACACGUGAGUAACCUGCCCUUGACUUUGGGAUAACUUCAGGAAACUGGGGCUAAUACCGGAUAGGAGCUCCUGCUGCAUGGUGGGGGUUGGAAAGUUUCGGCGGUUGGGGAUGGACUCGCGGCUUAUCAGCUUGUUGGUGGGGUAGUGGCUUACCAAGGCUUUGACGGGUAGCCGGCCUGAGAGGGUUACCGGCCACAUUGGGACUGAGAUACGGCCCAGACUCCUACGGGAGGCAGCAGUGGGGAAUAUUGCACAAUGGGCGGAAGCCUGAUGCAGCAACGCCGCGUGCGGGAUGACGGCCUUCGGGUUGUAAACCGCUUUCGCCUGUGACGAAGCGUGAGUGACGGUAAUGGGUAAAAAAGCACCGGCUAACUACGUG
rnacentral:rRNA from 1 species